rnacentral:lncRNA from 1 species
GUUCACAUGAAGAAGACUGCAUUUUCCAUAAAACAUUACUUACAAGAAUUUAUAUUUUUGGAAGAAUUUCCUAAGGGAAAGAACUGGAGAAGAAAUGUAUUAUGUAAAUGUGAGAGGAUUUAGAUUAUGAAGCUGGCAGAAAGCUCCGAAACACUAUGGGAUAGACACAUUUGGGCUUUCUUAUUCUCAAAUAUAGCUCAUCCCAUUCCCCUUCCAACUUGGAGGAGAGUUUCCCUUUCUCCGGUGUUUAUAGAAGAGAAAAUUUUACUUCCAUUCAGUGUCUUUAUCUUUCUUUGAUAUCAAGAUAAGGCUGGCC